CACACUAUAUAUGAAUUUUUGAAAAUAAAAUGCUCUGUUUAGUGAUAUGAUGGUCGAUUCAAGUUAAAUUUGAAUUGGGUUUGCUUAGUUAAAAAACUUGGUGCUCAUAUUUGAUUUGAGUUUGAUUCGCUCAACUUAACGACUCGCGGUCAAUUGAAGUUGAAUUUGAUUUGAACUUGAUCUGCUUAGUUUAAAGACUUGACGGUUAAUUGAAGUUCAGUUUGAUUUGAACUUAAUUUGCUCAAUUUAACGACUUGGUAGUCAAUUGAAGUUCAAUUUAAUUUGAACUUGAUUUGCUUAGUUUAACGACUUGGCGUUCAAGUUGGGAUGAAUUUGAUUUGAAUUUGGUUUAUUUAGUUUAGCGACUUGACGAUCAAUUGAGGUUGAAUAUGAUUUGAAUUUAAUUUGCUGAGUUUAACGACUUAGUGGUCAAUUAAGGUUGAAUUUGAUUUGAACUUGAUUUGCUCAGUUUAACGACUUGGCGGUUAAUUAAAGUUGAAUUUGAUUUGAA
rnacentral:lncRNA from 1 species